rnacentral:lncRNA from 1 species
UCUCUCAAAUCUCAAUUCUCAAUUCUCAAAUAUUCAAUAUAUUUAAUUUCUUAAAGUGUUCACUUUAAUUUUUUAAUUUUUCGUUUACAAAGUACGAGCGGAAGUUUCUAAAGUUGCAAUCUUCGGAUACUUCCAAAAUUUGGUAUUGUCGUUCCAUCUCUUACGUUUAAUUUUUAUUUAUUGUAUUAAUUAUUUAAUAUUUAAUUUUAUUAUAUUUGUGUAUUUUGAAUAUUUUUAGUUUAAUUUAAUUUAUAUUAUGGAUAAAUUAAGAAACCUCGCUACUAAAGGUGUUAAAAUUUUUUGUCCCGGAAGCGGUAGUGGUAGUAAAAAGAGAAUAACUAGCGGUAGAGGUAGUUCAAGUAGUAGAUAUACCCCUG